rnacentral:rRNA from 1 species
AUUGAACGCUGGCGGCAGGCCUAACACAUGCAAGUCGAGCGGAUGAAGGGAGCUUGCUCCUGGAUUCAGCGGCGGACGGGUGAGUAAUGCCUAGGAAUCUGCCUGGUAGUGGGGGAUAACGUCCGGAAACGGGCGCUAAUACCGCAUACGUCCUGAGGGAGAAAGUGGGGGAUCUUCGGACCUCACGCUAUCAGAUGAGCCUAGGUCGGAUUAGCUAGUUGGUGGGGUAAAGGCCUACCAAGGCGACGAUCCGUAACUGGUCUGAGAGGAUGAUCAGUCACACUGGAACCGAGACACGGUCCAGACUCCUACGGGAGGCAGCAGCGGGGAAUAUUGGACAAUGGGCGAAAGCCUGAUCCAGCCAUGCCGCGUGUGUGAAGAAGGUCUUCGGAUUGUAAAGCACUUUAAGUUGGGAGGAAGGGCAGUAAGUUAAUACCUUGCUGUUUUGACGUUACCAACAGAAUAAGCACCGGCUAACUUCGUG